GUGAUUAAAUCGAGCGUGUCUUCAUUGACCGCUCACCCUUCUCACCAUCCACAUACACCUAGUGCACUGUUUAGCCUGAGCCGGUUUUCCGGUCCAGGUUAUCAUUUCAUACAAACUCUAGUUUAUGAAUGUAAACGUUUUAAUAACAUAAUA
rnacentral:misc_RNA from 1 species